AUCCAACUGACGAGUCCCAAAUAGGACGAAACACUCGUCUUUUAU
rnacentral:hammerhead_ribozyme from 1 species